rnacentral:piRNA from 1 species
UAGGUUCUAUGGUGGUAUACCUGAG